CGAAUUCAGCCGCAACAAUCGACAAAACCGAUAAGGAUCACGAAGCCCGCAGAAAAGAUUCUGCUGAUAAUAAAUCGCCAUUCAUAUAAAUAGAAAAUCGAUUAACACCACGUUUGACUCUGUAACUGUGUCAGUAUCUCUACCGUUAGUCACGCAAAUGAUUGUUUUCUUUUUCCUCGGGCCAGAGGCAGGAUAGGGUAAACGUCCGUAAUCUAAAAAUAUAACUUCUUUCGAGCGCUGAUCGGAAGUCGUGUCACGAAAUUUCACAAUGCGUGGGACUAAUUUAGAAAGUGACGAUGCAAAUUAUGUGAAAUCGUAUUUGGCUUAGAAGGAACUUAUGUACGUAAUAAACAGCAAAUCGCGAAGUUCUUCGUUUCCAUGGAAGCUGUACAGUUUCGAGGAAGAAAUUUGCAUAGGAAGAAAAAAACAUGGAAAAUGGUGCACUCUUGCGUAUACUACGAAAUAUUAUAUGAUAACAGAGCGUUACACAACAUAAAAGGAAAAUCGUGUUUACACGAAAAAGGCAAUCGACAUAUGCAAAUAUACGUACGUCAAGCAAGGACUGGAUACAAUUUCAUUUGUGUUUAGUUUUAAAGAAGAGCUUGGGAAUACCAAGUUUUAUUAUUACAGCGCUUGGACAAUGGUGAUUAAUCAUGCUUCAUAGCCGAUGGGAACGAUUCAUUAUUGAAGCAGAUUUCCAAUCACAUCGACCAAGGCGACUGGUCAUAGAAGAAUACCGUGGACAAUAGUUGGAUUGUUGAAAUUUUUGUUGUAAUCUUGACUAUGUAACGGUAUAGAAUAUAUCUAAGUAAAUAUAUGUAUCAUAUAAUAUUUUUAAUAUAACUGAAUAUUUGUCAAGAUAAUAGAUAGAAUUUUACCAGAAAUUUAAUAUCACAGGGUACAUAUUAGAUGCAAAAUUCAAAUGCCAAGAAAAGUUAGGUCGCAUCUAAAGUUUUGUUUGUAACAUUUACUUGGUCAAAAUUGCCUAGCUAAACUGAUGAAUCAAAUUUGAUUAUACGUGUAAGAUAUUUUGUGCAUAAUCUCUAUGACAUUUUAGAUCAGAUAAUAUGUAUUCGGAUGUAUUAUAUAGUUAUUGAAGAAGUAUCAAUAUUUAAAUAAGCUGAGAAACUUCUUUGCUUCAGUUAAGGAAUACAAAUUAAGAAACGAUCUUUUAUAUAUAUAUACAUAUAUGCUGUUUUCAUUACAAUACAUACAAAUUCUAAAUAUGAUUAAAAAGAAGAUACAGGAAAGGAUAGAAUAAGAAAAUUUUGAAGGUCAAACAUUAACCUUUUUCUCUUUAAUUAUUAUGCAAAAGAUGCGUUUGGCGAUCUCUCUUCUACUAAACAUAUGCACGAGAACCUGUUGUUUUAUGAUCUGCUUCGAUAAUAUCCCUAACACUUACUUGCUCUACUUGUACUGAAGAUGCAAAUUUAUACGUAUAAGUAAUUAAGCUACAUAGCAGCAACUAGUUUCAUACAUAGAGGUUAAAAGUAUAUAUGAAGAUACAGUACGCCAGUCAUAUAAAACAUACGUUACUAUGUUAUCGUGUAAGUGGAUGCGAUAUGAGAAUGAAAAGAAAACGUACAUAGAGGCCCCUUCCAUCACUGGCAAAUAAUGCCGCUCGUUGAUCGGUGAUACACUUACUUAUUUACCUGUAAGGUACGUUCUCUUUUUAUAGCUAUAUCGCCUUUACAGCUCGUUCACGCACACUAUCUUUAUAUCUCUAUGGUUUUACACAUAUGUGUGUAUAACAAUAAAAGAAUUUUUCUGUUUA